AGGCGGCCAUCUUUAUCCUGUCUUCUCCACCGUGCACGGUCUGCUGUUCAUGUCCUCCACGCGCAGGAACGCACACGGAGACGCGCGCACUGGAACCGCGCGGUCACGCGCAUGACGCAGCGAGAAACACAAACGCGAAUAUCUCCCACUGCACCUUUUCGAGAAAAAUGCCAGUGAACUCAGCAAAGAACAGAGGGAGUUUGCCAUCACAUUGCACCUGCAUGGACCCAAGGCAUACCGCUACCUCAGAUGCACGCUGCAACUUCCUCUCCCUCAUCCACGCUCAUUGCAAAGUCAUACCGGACUAUCAACAGUGGCAGUGGCAGGAUCGAGUGGAAGCACAUUGUUGAGCUCAACAAUGUGCAAAAAAAGGCAGGGCUGCAUGCAGCCAACAAACUGACAGAUACUCAUGUCAGUUUCAACAACCAAAAAAUUAAGGUUUGUUUGUGUUUGUGU